UACAGAGGUCUCAAGCGUUGUUCGGAUUCAUUGGGCGUAAAGGGCGCGUAGGCGGCUUGGUAAGUCGGGUGUGAAAUCUCGGGGCUUAACUCCGAAACUGCAUUCGAUACUGCCGUGCUUGAGGACUGGAGAGGAGACUGGAAUUUACGGUGUAGCGGUGAAAUGCGUAGAUAUCGUAAGGAAGACCAGUGGCGAAGGCGGGUCUCUGGACAGUUCCUGACGCUGAGGCGCGAAAGCCAGGGGAGCAAACAGG
rnacentral:rRNA from 1 species